GACCCGCAGGUCCCACUGUAGCUAGCAGCAAGGUGUAGGAUGGUCAAUCCCAUAUAAAUCUAUACACAAACUCACGCUCUCCCUCCAGGAGACUCUGGUUACAAAACAUGACACGACAGUAUAUUGCCAUGCCAUGAAGUAAUGGCUCACAUUAGUGUUAUAGUAUUCUUGUAUAUGUAUAGUAUGCUCCAUCUACUCUAGUGUAUUGUAUGUUCUCUUUGUAUAGUGUAUAGUAUGUUCCUCCUUGUUUCUCAUUAUAGUAUGUUCUUUAUGUUUCUCGUUAUAGUGUGUUUGAACUAACUCAAGUAUGAACUGACUCUUGUAUGUUUCAUUGUUCUAGAAAUAGUGAGUAGUAAUCCUCUAAACUAUACCUAUUAUAGUUUACUAGUGAUGCAUUGCUUGAAUGAUUGUGUAUGUUUGCACACCUUUGCUACCCAAAGGUGUUGAACUGAGAUAAGAACUUGUAUAUCUAUACAUAUAUACAUAAUAUAUAACUAAGAUUCAAACGACACUCAGACAAACAACCGGAUACUCUAAGUCCACAACCAAACAAGGAACAGGAAAUAAAGUGAGUUAUUAGUCCUAAUCCCUUUCAACCUUACUUAUAUAACUAUAUCUAUAUAGACAUGAUUUUGACAAUAUAUAAGUUUAAAAGAGAUUAAUAGAGAGUUUAGCAUAUAAAAGAGUUUGAACAUAAAAGGGAAUUUUAACCAUUUGAAUGGUUAUAGAUGACUUCAUGUCAGUUUAUAAAAUGUUUUGAAGAUUUUGUUUGAUAAACAGUUUGAAGUAUAAGAAAAUCCACUUGUUUGAUAGUUAUUAAUCACAUGUGAUUUAUAUAAAAACUAUAAUGUUUUCAACUUGUAUUCCGCCCCCCCCCCCCCANUAGGAUGCUAAGUGUCAAGUGAAGCCUCGAGCACAAACGGAUCCUAUUAAGCAUAUAAUGACACAUAUAUGUAUAUAAUUAGUGUAUCUCUACUGGUUCUUCCACGAAGUUGAGGCUCUCGUUGAUCUUAAUCUCAUCGAGUGGGAUUACAAGAGUCUCGUCGGACAGACACAUUUUCAAGUUCAAUACGUGGAAAGUAGGGUGUACGUUACUUAGUUCGCGAGGUAGUUUGAGUUUGUAAGCUACAAGCCCAAUUCUAGCGAUGAUCUCGAAAGGCCCUGCGUAUCUUGGAUUUAGCUUUUCACGCUUUCCGAAGCGUAUCAAACCCUUCCAGGGUGAGACUUUCAAUAGAACGCGGUCUCCAACCUGGAAUUCCAAAGGUUUCCUUCUCUUGUCUGCGUAGCUUUUCUGUCGGUCUUUAGAGGCUUUUAAUCGUUCACGGAUUUGAAUGAUCUUCUCUGUCGUUUCCCGAAUGAUUUCAAGACAUGUGAGAGUGCUGUCAGGAACGCGCCCUUUAGCUAACUGUGUGUCACCCACCUCAGCCCAACACAGAGGGGAUCUGUACUUCCGGCCAUAGAGGGCUUUAAAUGGAGCAGCCUUUAUGCUCGUGUGAUAACUAUUAUUGUAGGAGAACUCGACAAGGGGUAGAUGAAUAUCCCAUGCCUUUCCAAAGUCAAUUACACAUGCUCGCAACAUAUCUUCCAAAGUUUGAAUAGUCCUCUCACUUUGUCCGUCGGUUUGCGGAUGGUAGGCUGUACUCCUGUCCAACCUAGUUCCUAGGGAAACUNCCUUGAAGUGAAUCUACUAUCUCUAUCAGAGAUAAUGGAUAUAGGAACACCAUGCAGUCGUACGAUCUCCCUAAUGUAAUUUCUAGUUAGUUUCUCCAUCUUUUUCUUUAAUAGGCAGGAAGUGUGCGGACUUUGUUAACCUAUCUACGAUCACCCAUAUGGUAUCGAGACCACCCGUUGUCUUGGGAAACUUGGUUAUGAAGUACAUCAUGAUCCGCUCCUACUUCCAUUCUGGUAUCUCUAGUUGUCAUAGUAAACCUGAUGGUUUAUGGUAUUCGACCUUAACCUUGGCGCAAGUAAGGCACUUGCUGACGAAGGUAGCAAUCUCUUCUUUCAUGUUAGGCCAUCAGUAUAGCUUUUUAAGAUCCAGAUACAUCUUAUCUGAACCUGGGUGGACAGAAUAUCAAGUGUUGUGCGCUUCGGUCGUGACUAAGUCUCUAAAACCACCGUGUCUUGGUGUCCAGAUCCGAUCCAUGAGAUAUAAUGCUCCGCCACCCUUGACUUACAAGUUCUUAUCCAUCCCUCUCAGGGAUUCACCCGCCAAAUUUUCAGGUUUCAAGGCUUCGAGAUGAGCCUCCUUAAUUUGUGUGGACGGAUGUGAAUGGAUAGUCAUAGUCAAUGAUUUGACUCUACGACCAGAGUAUUCUUUUCGACUUAGGGCGUUAGCUACUACGUUGGCUUUACCGAGAUGAUAACGAAUUUCGCAUUUGUAGUCAUUAAGUAGCUCGACCCACCGUCGUUGUCUGAUAUUGAGCUCCUUCUGGUCGAAUAUAUGUUGAAGGAUCUUGUGGUCUAUAAAGAUAGUGCUUUUUGUACCAUACAGGUAGUGUCUCCAAAUCUUUAGAGCAAAUACCACUGCUCCUAACUCAAGAUCAUGUGUGGUGUAGUUGACUUUAUGCGUCUUUAGCUGUCUUGAGGCAUAAGCGAUGACCUUACCUCGUUGCAUAAGAACACAUCCGAGCCCUUGAUUGGAUGCAUCGCAAUAAACCAUGAAGUCUUAUAUCCCUUCUGGGAGGGAUAGUAUCGGUGCGCUGCAUAAGGCUCGCUUCAGCGUUUGGAACGCCUUCUCUUGUUUCUCUUCCCAGUCAAAGGCCAUGCCUUUCUGGGUCAAUGUAGUAAGCGGUUUCAAAAUCCUAGAGAAGUUCUGAAUGAACCUGCGAUAGUAGCUAGCGAGGCCUAGAAAUUGAUGAAUUUCUGUAGGCGUCUUUGGUGCUGACCAGUUCUCAAUGGCCUUAAUUUUGGAAGGGUCCACAUGAAUUUCUUCUUCACUGACAACGUGACCCAAGAAUUCCGACUCUUUGAAUCCAAAACUCGCACUUUGAGAACUUCACAUAGAGCUUUUCUGAUCGUAAUGUUUGUAAGACUUGACGUAGAUGUUGACUAUGCUCUUCCUUACUUCGAGAGUAGAUAAGUAUAUCAUCGAUGAAUAUAAUGACGAACUGAUCCAAGUAAGGAUGGCACACCCUAUUCAUUAAGUCCAUGAAUACUGCGGGCGCAUUAGUCAAUCCGAAUGGAAUCACUACAAACUUGUAAUGUCCAUAACAAGUUUGGAAGGCUAUCUUAGGAACAUACUCCUCUAGCACUCGUAAAUGGUGAUACCCGGAUCUCAGAUCUAUCUUUGAAAAGUAAUUCGCCCCUUGCAUUUGGUCGAAAAAAUCAUCUAUGCGAGGUAGAGGGUAACGAUUCUUGACAAUUAGCUUGUUCAGUUCUUUGUAGUCGAUGCACAUACGGAACGAUCCGUCUUUCUUCUUCACGAACAAGACCGGUGCUCCCCAGGGUGAGAAGCUUGGUCUAAUAAAGCCCUUGUUGAGCAGUUCGUUAAGUUGACUAGACAGCUCCUUCAUUUCAGCUGGUGCUAGACGAUAGGGCGACUUGGCUACUAGGGUAGCCCCUGGAACUAAGUCGAUUCUGAACUCGACUUAACGUUGUGGAGGUAAUCUUGGCAGUUCUUAUGGAAAGAUGUCUGGAAAGUCGCGUACUUCUAGGAUGUUCUUUAGGUCUUUUGUCUCUUGACUCAUAUCAACCACAUGAGAAAGGAAUGCGUGACAUUCCUUUUGCAAGUACUUCUGGGCUUGUAUACUCGAGAUGAUACAGAGGUUCGUGACGGGUUUGUCACCAUAGAUAACUAGAGUUUUGUUAGACGGUAGAUUAAGGCGAACAGCCUUUUCAUAACACAUGAUUUCAGCACGAUGAAGACUCAAGCAAUCCAUGCUGAUAUGACAUCAAAACUUUUAAUUGAGACUGACAUAAGGUCAAUUGGAAAUGAAUGGCUAUCUAGAGUCAGAGUACAUCCUAUGUAUAUACUGCUAGUGCUCUCAGUCUUUCCAUUAGCCAUUUCUACUGUGAACCGUUCUUUAAGUGCACAUGGUUUUUGUUUAAGCAAGUGAGAAAUUUUAUGGUUCACGAAAAUCCUUUCCACUCCGCUAUUAAACAGUAUGCAUGCAUAUGAGUUAUCGAGGAGAAACAUACCAGUGACCACUGUAGGGUCGGCUACCGCUUCCACGUGGCCUAUAGCCAAAACUCUUCCCACUCCGCCAGCAUUCCCUGCCUUCGGGCAGCUCCUCUUGUAGUGACCCACCUCGCCACAUCCGUAGCAAGCCUAGCCUACACCAAUGUUGGGGACUUGGGUGAUUGGCCUUGUCGGAGCCUUGCAGAAACGGGCAGUGUGCCCCUUCCUGUUGAAGUUAGCGCACUACAUUUCUUGGCAGGGUCUGUUGUGGUGGAAGUUGCACUUGUUGCACUUGGGCAAGCUUCCAACAUACUGCUUCAUUGGCGCAGUAGCAGUAGGUGUUAUCGCUGCAUGAACAUCCAUGACCUGCUGCUUUUUGUUAGAGUUCUACGCCAUGUUCUUUUUCUUAUCAUCCCAAAACUUUCGCUUGUUGUGAGUGGUUUUGGAGGGUUCUGGAAUGGCCAGGGUUGUUGUUGUAGUUGGGGUGCGGACUCCAUGAUCGAUGAGCCGCUGUGCCAGUCGCUUGGCACUGUCGAAGGUAGUGGGGUGUGAAGCUAAGACAUUCCCCUGAAAUAGAGGCACCAACCCCCAGAUAUACAUCUCUAUCUUCUUUCCCUCAAUAGGGACCAUGCCCGGACAUAGUGCCACCAGAUCGCUGAACCUGGCAGUGUAGGCAACUAUGUCGGAACCCUUCAUGGUUAGGCUCUAGAGUUCCUUUUCAAGUUUCUGAACCUCGCCCGCUGGGCAGUACUCUUCUAUCAUAAGCUCCUUCAGAGCUUCCCAACCCAUAGCAUUAGCAAUUAUUAGAGUUAGUGACUUGACAUGGCUAUUCCACCACAUCAGGGCUUUGUCCGCGAAGGUGCAGGCAACAAAUUUUACUUUGCUUCCUUCCGGAAAGGAACAGAUCUCAAAGAUCAAUUCCGUUUUCUCGAACCAUUGCGAGAGGCAAUGAUUCCGCCAGUCCCGUUGAAGGACCUGGGCUUGCAGUUGGUGAAGUCCUUAUACGAGCACUCCCUAGAGCGCAUGGGAGCAUCACCUUGAGUGGAAUGAACUGUUGUUCCACUCCCGCUAGUACCACUAACACUAAAUUGGGCUAAGGCUGCCGAAACAGCCACGACCACUGUAGCUUGGAUUGCUGCCAGAUUGUAUUGUGGAUGAGGUGGAGGUGGUUGCGUUGGAGUUAUCGGAGGAUUGCGUCUCCUUGAUCGACGUGGAGGCAUCUUUCAACUAAAAGUUUAAAAAGAUGAAUAUGAUAGUAAGAAUCAAUUAUAAGUAUAAUGACUAACUCGCCAUAGCCCAGCAAAACAAAUGAGAGUAUGAUUGAUAUAGAGAUCUAACAGUAGAAUGAUGAAAGCAUUUGGAUAAAAUUUUCCAAGAGAUUAGAUGUCUGUCAAUAAUAUUGGCAUUAAUGAUGUAAUAAGUUCGGGAAAAAUGACCUAGAAGUAGGUCUUACAUCAAACUAGAGUUAGCAAGAUUUUGACAGCAUAGAGACCUAGCAACAGUACUAGAAAGAUAGGAAUAUUUACAGGGAAAAGUGCUACAUAGAGCAUAGAUAAGAAGGCUAUUCCUUAAACCAAAAGAAAGGACGAUUAGAGAAUCUUAUACCGACGACGAGUACCCCUCAGGUGAACCCUCAAACCUGCCAGUUGACGCUCCACGUCAAGAAGGUGUCAUUCAUAUACUCUUUGGCGUGCUCGGAGCUCUAUGACUUUAGCUCGAGUUGCAGUUAAUUCUUUCUGCAGAGCCUCAUUGUCUCUCAUAGACCUCCCAUGAGCAUCUUCAAGACGAAGAGUGUGGACUGUAUUAACUCCCGCAUUGUAAUCAACCUCCAUGAUUUGGUUGAUGACUGUCCUACCCUGCUCUUCAUUUCUCGCAACCCUGCGGACCAGAAUAGACAGGACUCUGUCUGCUGAGCCUCCCUCGCUCAGAUUAUAGAAGAUUCUGUCUCCGUUAUAUGGUAUAGGUUGACCCUGUUCUUAACUCCAUCUACCCAAGUUUUCCGCCCACAGAGGCGUCAGGCCUUGAAAAGCUGGACGAGGGUUAGGAUUCGAGAUUGGAGCUACCAGGGGCAGAUCAUUGACUUCUGGCUCAGAGUCAGAAUCCUCCGGAAAGUUCUCUGCAAAGUCAUCCUCCAAAGGGAUUGGAUGAUUAUCUUCUAGCUCUACAUCGAGUCAUCCACCAUUACCUUGGUUGGGAAAGUACGGGUCGCUAGGGAGAUUGAAUCCAACCAUGUUAUCUACGCGAGAAUAAGGGUAAAAGAAAUAAUUAAUUGAUGUACUACUUAAGAUAAUUAUAGGAUGAUCCUUACCAGUUACUUCAAUACUUGCGUAGUGCAUACCAGUCAUAUGUAACCAAAACAUGAUAGACUUUCGAAUAAGUGAUCCUAACUCCAAAUCCACAACCAAACAAGGAACAUGAAGUAAAGAAAAGAUCACAGAUUUUAAGUCUAUGACACCUUAGUCACAUAUAACCUUAGCGUAUCCACUUAGCAGCUAUUGACCUACUAAUAACGACCUUUAGUUCUUAAAUAAGUAAUUAUAGUAACACAAAAUACUCCUAUAGUAUUUUAAGUUUAUGUUAUGUUCUAAAGUUUUCAUUGUAGUAGUGAUGGUAAGUUUUUAGACUUGUUGCAACACCACAACCAUUCCUAGGCACAUGCUAAUCACUUCUCAGAAAGGUAUAGUUGAUCAGGCUAUAUCACUCCUAGAUCUGAUUAUAUGUCCCUAAGCCUGCUUGUACUGUCCAACAACCGUAAUACUUUUCUUCUGUCCUAUAUGACACCGAUUUUAGAAUGAAUGUAGGUACGUAUACUUUGGUUAAAUAUUUUAUUAUUUAAAGGUAUAAACCCUUGGUCAGAGUAUUUUAAUCAUGUUGUGUUUUUAGUUUGUAUAUCUUUUAUGGGUUGAUAUAUUCAAUUCACUAUAAAGAAAACUCUAAUAUCAAUAUGUCACACCCCAAAACUGGAACGACGGAAACGUUCGUGGGCGGAGGACGUCAUGUACAGUAUCAUAUCAAUGCAUAAUAGUAAACAAGCAACAACAUCAUCCAUUACAUUAAUAAUAUAAUUUAAUACAAUUGUGUUAUGUGUAUAGUUUGUAAGACACCAAAAUAAGAAUCAAAGUAAAAAACGAGUCUCGAAUGUGCUCCGUCUUCUCAAAAUCUGGUCCAGUGUACCUGUCUACUGGUGACCUGAGAAUACAAGUUAUUUUGAAAGAGUAGAUCAGCAUUAAAGCUGGUGAGUUCAUAAGUUUUUUAGUGUCAUUUGUUGUAUAAGUUUGAUGAAAGUGUUUGAAAAUGUUCGCAAGUGUUUGUUGUAAAUGUUUGUAAGUGUUUGUAGUAAAUGUUUAUAGAAAAUAAUAUAUUUUCUACUAGAAAUGUAGCCUUCUACCAAGACCUGACUGUUUUGUAUGUUUCUUCUUUUGUAAAAGGGAGUGCUUUUCCCAAGUAUAACUAUCAUUACUAAAAUGUAGUUUACAUUUCCGUUUAUGUGAGAAGAUCACAAUGUAAAUGCAAUGGGAAAAUAAAGAUGUAUUGUAGUAUUGUAUGUAAGUAACUAACAAUGUACUAACUACCUUAAAUUGGUUUGUUUAAUUAAGGUAAAAUGUGAUGAGGUUGUAACCAUACUCGAUUGACUAGUAAAACACAACGAUCAAAGAUGUCGAUAUGGUAUGACAUUCAUCACCUGUAGACCUGCAGGUCCCACUGUAGCUAGCAAAAAGGUGUAGGAUGGUCAAUCUCGUAUAGAUCUAUACACAAACUCACGCUCUCCCUCCAGGAGACUCUGGUUACAAAACGUGACACAACAGUAUAUUGCCAUGCCAUGAAGUAGUGGCUCACAUUAGUGUUAUAGUAUUCUUGUAUAUGUAUAAUAUGCUUUAUCUGCUCUAGUGUAUUAUAUGUUCUCUUUGUAUAGUGUAUAGUAUGUUCCUCCUUGUUUCUCAUUAUAGUAUGUUCUUUAUGUUUCUCGUUAUAGUGUGUUUGAACUAACUCAUGUAUGAACUGACUCUUGUAUGUUUCAUUGUUCUAGAAAUAGUGAGUAGUAAUCCUCUAAACUAUACCUAUUAUAGUUUACUAGUGAUGCAUUGUUUGAAUGAUUGUGUAUGUUUGCACACCUUUGCUACCCAAAGGUGUUGAACUGAGAUAAGAA
rnacentral:lncRNA from 1 species